GUUGACCUCGGAUCAGGUAGGAAUACCCGCUGAACUUAAGCAUAUCAAUAAG
rnacentral:rRNA from 18 species